rnacentral:lncRNA from 1 species
UUUGCUCUACUUUUUUCUGCAGACAAUGCUACCGUCAUGAGAUGAUCCACGAGCUAUAUCAUUCCAUCUUGGGGGUAUCGCUCGGCACUUUAGUAUUGCAGGUUUUUGUGUCGUUCUUGGCCUAUACUCUGAUGAUUUCUUAGUAGCAAUUGAGCUCUCCUCCCUCCCACAACAUAUCCAUUAUGUAGCCUUUCUCUGUUGGUUGGAGAUCACUGAGGUUGUCGUUCCAUAUAACCCAAGCCCAUCCAAGGCUCGAUGCCAUCCUCCAACCGUGCAAUACAUUCACGCUAUUCUAGCUCAUACUUUAGCUGGCCAGGAGGAGAGUACGAGUGUCGUAGGCACUUUAGAUGCAUAUUUCUUAUGGAUCAUGCAUAGGCAGCAUCCAUUAAUCUAGCCCAUUUUGUAGCCUGGUAUUGCCUUAAUCAGAAUGAGCGAUCACGGAAUGGACCUCUCUGUAUGGGUACAUAUAUCACAUGGUUGGUUCAUCACUUCGGUUUCCUCGAUACCCUUAAACAGAUUGGUACUCUUAUUUUGGUUAGGGAUAUGACACUAUAGGGUUUAAACAUUAUGAGACACAUGAGGAUGGUUGCUCGUCGGCCUAGGUCUUUCGAUGAUCAGUAUGUGUCGCUACGACCGACUCAACAGCAAGAAGAUGAUGAGCAUCUCAAUGAUGAUUCCCCACGACCACCAUGAACGAUUCCCACUCCUCCUCCAAGCCACUCUAUUGUUGCACCUACACAUUCGAUCACACUCGACGGUAUUUAUCGUACUCAGCAAUAGCAGUCACCACGGCUGGAUACCAUUGAGGCAUAUUUGCAACAGAUCUGCCAACAUUUCCAUAUCUCUCCACCCGAUCAUACGCCUCACGAUCCCAACAUCUCGCAUGAUGCCGAUCCAUGACCUGAUUUAUUUUUUUG